GGUGCAAGCGUUAAUCGGAAUUACUGGGCGUAAAGCGUGCGCAGGCGGUUUUGUAAGUCUGACGUGAAAUCCCCGGGCUCAACCUGGGAAUUGCGUUGGAGACUGCAAGGCUGGAAUCUGGCAGAGGGGGGUAGAAUUCCACGUGUAGCAGUGAAAUGCGUAGAGAUGUGGAGGAACACCGAUGGCGAAGGCAGCCCCCUGGGUCAAGAUUGACGCUCAUGCACGAAAGCGUGGGGAGCAAACAGGAUUAGAUACCCUGGUAGUCCACGCCCUAAACGAUGUCUACUAGUUGUCGGGUUUUAAUUAACUUGGUAACGCAGCUAACGCGUGAAGUAGACCGCCUGGGGAGUACGGUCGCAAGAUUAAAACUCAAAGGAAUUGACGG
rnacentral:rRNA from 1 species